GAUGAACGCUGGCGGCGUGCCUAAUACAUGCAAGUCGAGCGAACAGACGAGGAGCUUGCUCCUCUGACGUUAGCGGCGGACGGGUGAGUAACACGUGGAUAACCUACCUAUAAGACUGGGAUAACUUCGGGAAACCGGAGCUAAUACCGGAUAACAUGUUGAACCGCAUGGUUCAACAGUGAAAGACGGUCUUGCUGUCACUUAUAGAUGGAUCCGCGCCGCAUUAGCUAGUUGGUAAGGUAACGGCUUACCAAGGCAACGAUGCGUAGCCGACCUGAGAGGGUGAUCGGCCACACUGGAACUGAGACACGGUCCAGACUCCUACGGGAGGCAGCAGUAGGGAAUCUUCCGCAAUGGGCGAAAGCCUGACGGAGCAACGCCGCGUGAGUGAAGAAGGUCUUCGGAUCGUAAAACUCUGUUAUUAGGGAAGAACAAAUGUGGAAGUAACUAUGCACGUCUUGACGGUACCUAAUCAGAAAGCCACGGCUAACUACGUG
rnacentral:rRNA from 1 species